GACGAACGCUGGCGGCGUGCUUAACACAUGCAAGUCGAACGGAAAGGCCCUGCUUUUGUGGGGUGCUCGAGUGGCGAACGGGUGAGUAACACGUGAGUAACCUGCCCUUGACUUUGGGAUAACUUCAGGAAACUGGGGCUAAUACCGGAUAGGAGCUCCUGCUGCAUGGUGGGGGUUGGAAAGUUUCGGCGGUUGGGGAUGGACUCGCGGCUUAUCAGCUUGUUGGUGGGGUAGUGGCUUACCAAGGCUUUGACGGGUAGCCGGCCUGAGAGGGUGACCGGCCACAUUGGGACUGAGAUACGGCGCAGACUCCUACGGGAGGCAGCAGUGGGGAAUAUUGCACAAUGGGCGGAAGCCUGAUGCAGCAACGCGGCGUGCGGGAUGACGGCCUUCGGGUUGUAAACCGCUUUCGCCUGUAACGAAGCGUGAGUGACGGUAAGGGGUAAAGAAGCACCGGCUAACUACG
rnacentral:rRNA from 1 species